UACGUAGGGUGCGAGCGUUGUCCGGAAUUACUGGGCGUAAAGAGCUCGUAGGUGGUUUGUCGCGUUGUUCGUGAAAACUCACAGCUCAACUGUGGGCGUGCGGGCGAUACGGGCAGACUGGAGUGCUGCAGGGGAGACUGGAAUUCCUGGUGUAGCGGUGGAAUGCGCAGAUAUCAGGAGGAACACCGGUGGCGAAGGCGGGUCUCUGGGCAGUAACUGACGCUGAGGAGCGAAAGCGUGGGGAGCGAACAGG
rnacentral:rRNA from 1 species